rnacentral:snoRNA from 1 species
CCAGCCUGGAUACCCUGGAGGUCACUCUCCCUGGGUACUACCCAGGUGGUGAAGGAGCACAGGCCUUUGUCCAUAAUGUACACUUCUUUGCCACAAUGUUGGAGAAGAAACAGGAGCUUGUGUCUGAACCUGCCCACACAACUUCCCAGAGUCCUUUGUGCAGUGGCCACAAAAGUUAUCCAUGCAGGAAACAAGGGCUGGGAAGCCAACACUUUCAAUU